rnacentral:rRNA from 1 species
GAGUUUGAUCAUGGCUCAGAUUGAACGCUGGCGGCAGGCCUAACACAUGCAAGUCGAGCGGUAGAGAGAAGCUUGCUUCUCUUGAGAGCGGCGGACGGGUGAGUAAUGCCUAGGAAUCUGCCUGGUAGUGGGGGAUAACGCUCGGAAACGGACGCUAAUACCGCAUACGUCCUACGGGAGAAAGCAGGGGACCUUCGGGCCUUGCGCUAUCAGAUGAGCCUAGGUCGGAUUAGCUAGUUGGUGAGGUAAAUGGCUCACCAAGGCGACGAUCCGUAACUGGUCUGAGAGGAUGGUCAGUCACACUGGAACUGAGACACGGUCCAGACUCCUACGGGAGGCAGCAGUGGGGAAUAUUGGACAAUGGGCGAAAGCCUGAUCCAGCCAUGCCGCGUGCGUGAAGAAGGUCUUCGGAUUGUAAAGCACUUUAAGUUGGGAGGAAGGGCAGUAAAUUAAUACUUUGCUGUUUUGACGUUUACCGACAGAAUAAGCACCGGCUAACUCUGUGCCAGCCGCCG